rnacentral:rRNA from 1 species
GGCAAAUAAUGUCGUGCAUUAUACAUGCAGUCGAACGAUGAUGCCCAGCUUGCUGGGUGGAUUAGUGGCGAACGGGUGAGUAACACGUGAGUAACCUGCCCCUGACUCUGGGAUAAGCGUUGGAAACGACGUCUAAUACUGGAUAUGACUGCCGGCCGCAUGGUCUGGUGGUGGAAAGAUUUUUUGGUUGGGGAUGGACUCGCGGCCUAUCAGCUUGUUGGUGAGGUAAUGGCUCACCAAGGCGACGACGGGUAGCCGGCCUGAGAGGGUGACCGGCCACACUGGGACUGAGACACGGCCCAGACUCCUACGGGAGGCAGCAGUGGGGAAUAUUGCACAAUGGGCGAAAGCCUGAUGCAGCAACGCCGCGUGAGGGAUGACGGCCUUCGGGUUGUAAACCUCUUUUAGUAGGGAAGAAGCGAAAGUGACGGUACCUGCAGAAAAAGCACCGGCUAACUACGUGCCAGCAGCCGCGGUAAUACGUAGGGUGCAAGCGUUGUCCGGAAUUAUUGGGCGUAAAGAGCUCGUAGGCGGUUUGUCGCGUCUGCUGUGAAAUCCCGAGGCUCAACCUCGGGCUUGCAGUGGGUACGGGCAGACUAGAGUGCGGUAGGGGAGAUUGGAAUUCCUGGUGUAGCGGUGGAAUGCGCAGAUAUCAGGAGGAACACCGAUGGCGAAGGCAGAUCUCUGGGCUGUAACUGACGCUGAGGAGCGAAAGCAUGGGGAGCGAACAGGAUUAGAUACCCUGGGUAGUCCAUGCCGUAAACGUUUGGGCGCUAGAUGUAGGGGACCUUUUCCACGGUUU